AGCAGCCGCGGUAAUUCCAGCUCCAAUAGCGUAUAUUAAAGUUGUUGCAGUUAAAAAGCUCGUAGUUGAAUUUUGGGGUCAGUAGGUUGGUCAUGCUACUGGUAUGUACUGGUCUCACUGAUUCCUCCUUCCUGAUGAACUGUAAUGCCAUUAAUUUGGUGUUGCAGGGAAUCUGGACUGUUACUUUGAAAAAAUUAGAGUGUUUAAAGCAGGCUAACGCCUGAAUACAUUAGCAUGGAAUAAUGAAAUAGGACGUUCGAUCCUAUUUUGUUGGUUUCUAGGAUUGACGUAAUGAUUAAUAGGGAUAGUUGGGGGCAUUAGUAUUCAAUUGUCAGAGGUGAAAUUCUUGGAUUUAUUGAAGACUAACUACUGCGAAAGCAUUUGCCAAGGAUGUUUUCAUUAAUCAAGAACGAAAGUUAGGGGAUCGAAGACGAUCAGAUACCGUCGUAG
rnacentral:rRNA from 1 species